UGAGUUGUUUGGCUCUCUGAACUGGACAUCUGAGCUAAUUUGAGGCAGAGGGAUAUUUGACCCAGAGAGAGGCCAAUGUGACCACAUAGGCAGAGACUGGAGAGCUGUGGCAUUGAGGAGAGAGUGCUGACAGCCACCAGGGGCUGGAAGAGGCAAGGAAGGGAAUUCCCCCAGGAGCCUCCAGUGGCAGUGCGGCACAGCCCACACCUUGAUUUUGGACUUCUGGCCUCCAGAUCUGAGAGAAUAAAUUCCUGAUGUUCGAAG
rnacentral:lncRNA from 1 species